AACAGGGAUUAGCCCAGCACCGAAUCCUGCAGUCUUUGCUGUUGGGAACUGUGGUGUUUAGGACGGCUUUUGUGCUAAUUGGCGCACCUAAAGUUCACUUGAUUGUGACUUUAGGCCCAGAGAGGGUGUAAGGCCCGUUUGGGUGUGCUUUUUAGUGCCUGAGUUGUCCUUGGAGUCGGGUUGUUUGAGAUUGCAGCCCAAAGCGGGUGGUAAACUCCAUCCAAGGCUAAAUACUAACAUUAGUCCGAUAGUCAACAAGUACCGUGAGGGAAAGUUGAAAAGAACUUUGAAGAGAGAGUUCAAUAGUGCGUGAAACCGCGUAGAGGUAAACGGGUGGAGCCGAAGUUGACUUCGAGGAUUCAGCUAGUUGGGCUGCUGGUGUGGUGACUAAGUCACCUGUUGGCUGGUCUGCGCUGUGUCUGGUGGCUUGAUUGGUGCACUUUCUCGUUGUUGUCACUAGGACCGGUGGAUUGGUGGUCUGUUGUUGGGUGAUGGUAGCGUGCUUAUGUGCGUGUUAAUCUCCUGACAUGGAACUGCUGAGACACUGGUGCUGCGAUGCAAGCUUAUCAUGGCAUGCAUGUCUUGUUGUGCUGGUCUGCUCUUGGUUGACUUCUCGGAAGAUUGCCGGGGUGGGGCUGGUAUUCGACGGGGCCUCUGCAUUUUGCGUCAACAGUCUCUGGUGAUAAUGUAGGUAAUCCACCUGACCCGUCUUGAAACACGGACCAAGGAGUCUAGCAUGUGCGCGAGUCAUUGGGCGUUACUAAACCCUAAGGCGAAGUGAAAGCAAAGACCUGUGUACUCAGGUUUAGGUGUGAUCCUAACUUUUCUAGGUUGGGCGCAACACCGGCCCGUCUUCUGGAGUUUUCUCUGGGGCGGAGCAAGAGCGCACAUGCUGAAACCCGAAAGAUGGUGAACUAUGCUUGCGCAGGUCGAAGCCAGAGGAAACUCUGGUGGAGGACCGUAGCGAUUCUGACGUGCAAAUCGAUCGUCAGACGUGAGUAUAGGGGCGAAAGACUAAUCGAACCAUCUAGUAGCUGGUUCCCUCUGAAGUUUCCCUCAGGAUAGCUGGCGCAUGUGUGGGAAAUAGUUUUAUCCGGUAAAGCGAAUGAUUAGAGGUAUUGGGGUCGAAAUGACCUCAACCUAUUCUCAAACUUUAAAUGGGUGAGAAGCUUGACUCCUUUAAUUAGAGUCGGGCAUUGAAUAUGUGUGCCUAGUGGGCCAUUUUUGGUAAGCAGAACUGGCGAUGUGGGAUGAACCAAAAGUCUAGCUAAGGUGCCUAACACGACGCUCAUGAGAUACCACAAAAGGUGUUGGUUGAUCUAGACAGCAGGACGGUGGCCAUGGAAGUUGGAAUCCGCUAAGGAGUGUGUAACAACUCACCUGCCGAAUCAACCAGCCCUGAAAAUUAAUGGCGCUAGAGCGUUGGACCUAUGCUGGGCCGACACAGAAAGGUUCUAAGAAUUCUGUGUUGAGUAAGAGGGUUGCCGUGGUGAGCAUUGAAGCCGCUGCCGUGAGGUAGGGUGGA
rnacentral:rRNA from 1 species